AUUGAACGCUGGCGGCAUGCUUAACACAUGUAAGUCGAACGGUAGCGCGGGGCAACCUGGCGACGAGUGGCGAACGGGUGAGUAAAGCAUCGGAACGUGCCCUGGAAUGGGGGAUAACGUAGCGAAAGUUACGCUAAUACCGCAUAUUCUGUGAGCAGGAAAGCAGGGGAUCGCAAGACCUUGCGUUACUGGGAGCGGCCGAUGUCGGAUUAGCUAGUUGGUGGGGUAAAAGCCUACCAAGGCGACGAUCCGUAGCGGGUCUGAGAGGAUGAUCCGCCACACUGGGACUGAGACACGGCCCGGACUCCUACGGGAGGCAGCAGUGGGGAAUUUUGGACAAUGGGCGGAAGCCUGAUCCAGCCAUGCCGCGUGAGUGAAGAAGGCCUCGG
rnacentral:rRNA from 1 species